rnacentral:lncRNA from 1 species
ACUAAUUUACACACAGAAUACACUACACACACAAUUGAGAGGGAGAGCAGCCAUCGACUUGGAGAAGUAUAAUGGAGAAUUCUCUCCAUUAAAUCCACUUAGCAGCAACUCCCGUCUCCGAUUAAUAAUCAAGACCCAGUCACCCUUCCAUUUGACGUUAACAACAGUAACAAGAAACGACCACCACUGAACCAUCUUCCCCCUUUUUUCUGAUUUUCGCCGAGAACCCAGCUACGUCGGAGCUCAUGGCUUCGUCCCAUCCACCAGCUCCACCGUCUUGUGCUAUUUCUCUUUUGGGUUAUCCGUUCGUAUUCGCAAAAUUCUGUUCGAAUCCUAUUCGAGGAAGUGUUUCGCGAUUGAGUUGGUUGAUAGUCGAUGUUUCGGUGUUCGUUGAGAUCCGAGGCGGAUCCAGGCCAAGUAAUUCAAUCGGAUUAUUCAUCUUUUCGAUAGGAUAAUUAACAAAUCAAUCAAUAAUAAAAGAACAAUAAUAAAAUGACCAAAUUUAAACUUUUAAUAAUAUUACUAAUAUCAUAAUAUCCAUAAUUUAUUACAAUUGUCCACAACGAGUUUUUAUAUUCUGAAAAUGAUCAAUGAUGACAUCAUUACUUACAUUUUUAAAUACAUCACGCUCUGUGUAACAUACUAAACAAUCAUUUAAAUAUUGAUCACCAAUACUAUUUCGCAUUUCAUUUUUUAUGUGCUUCAUGGAAGAGAAUGCUCUCUCAACAAUUGUCGUAGCGACGGAUAAAAUUAAAGUCAACUUCACAAGUAAAUAAACAAGUGAAUAAGUCUCUACAAGAUUUGUCCCAACUAAUGCGUUUGCCAAAUCAUAUUUGCCUCAACUAAUGUUUCAAGACAGGUUGACAAGGCCCUUUUUCAAUAUAAUAUUUCCUCACUUUAUCUCGUAUUCAAGGAUCAUAAUCAGAAAUAAAUCUUCUUUCUCCCGGAUCGGCUUUAUGUGAACCCAAAUCGAGGUCAGUUAUAAGACAAGAACGAUUGACAUUGACAUUACUAGAACUUGAUUGUGAACAAUUAACCUUCUUGAAAAAAUUCUCCAUCUCAAAUUCUCAAUCACAAAACUAAAACACUUUCUCCUACAUCAAGCUAUCAAGAUACAUAGAUAAUUCCAAAUUUGGGAUUCUAAGCUCAAAAAAAGAGAAACAAAAUAAUUUUACAAUAUAACUUACGGAGAGCAAACAGAGAGAGAGAG